rnacentral:tRNA from 1 species
AAAAGUAGGGGGAGAAGAUCCUAAAAAGUUACAAGUCCC